rnacentral:pre_miRNA from 1 species
AAUAGGAGAAUGAAAAAUCAGAUUUUUGUCCUGAUUUUCAGCUUUUUCCUUCUGAAAAAAAUUCAAAUUCAACUAAAAACGCUAAAAAUUAGGAGAAAAAUUUUGAUUUGUCAUUCUUCUAUC